rnacentral:rRNA from 1 species
UACGAAGGGGGCUAGCGUUGUUCGGAAUUACUGGGCGUAAAGCGCGCGUAGGCGGCUAUCCAAGUCAGUGGUGAAAGCCCGGAGCUCAACUCCGGAACUGCCAUUGAAACUGUUUAGCUUGAGGAUGAGAGAGGUGAGUGGAAUUCCCAGUGUAGAGGUGAAAUUCGUAGAUAUUGGGAAGAACACCGGUGGCGAAGGUGGCUCACUGGCUCAUUACUGACGCUCAGGCGCGAUAGCGUGGGGAUCAAACAGG